rnacentral:rRNA from 1 species
UGGGGAAUAUUGGGCAAUGGGCGCAAGCCUGACCCAGCAACGCCGCGUGAAGGAAGAAGGCUUUCGGGUUGUAAACUUCUUUUCUGAGGGACGAACAAAUGACGGUACCUCAGGAAUAAGCCACGGCUAACUACGUGCCAGCAGCCGCGGUAAUACGUAGGUGGCAAGCGUUAUCCGGAUUUAUUGGGUGUAAAGGGCGUGUAGGCGGGAGUGCAAGUCAGAUGUGAAAACUCAGGGCUCAACCCUGAGCCUGCAUUUGAAACUGUACUUCUUGAGUGCUGGAGAGGCAAUCGGAAUUCCGUGUGUAGCGGUGAAAUGCGUAGAUAUACGGAGGAACACCAGUGGCGAAGGCGGAUUGCUGGACAGUAACUGACGCUGAGGCGCGAAAGCGUGGGGAGCAAACAGG